UACGUAGGGGGCAAGCGUUGUCCGGAAUUAUUGGGCGUAAAGAGCUCGUAGGCGGUGUGUCACGUCGGCCGUGAAAACCUGCAGCUUAACUGUGGGCGUGCGGUCGAUACGGGCAUCACUGGAGUUCGGCAGGGGAGACUGGAAUUCCUGGUGUAGCGGUGAAAUGCGCAGAUAUCAGGAGGAACACCGAUGGCGAAGGCAGGUCUCUGGGCCGAUACUGACGCUGAGGAGCGAAAGCGUGGGGAGCGAACAGG
rnacentral:rRNA from 1 species